UAUAACUGUUACGCUCUGUGUCCUGAUUAGUUGUCGUCCAACCGACCGGCCAACGCGACAAGAAACAAACAAAACACAUCUUAUGGUCGCGUCACGAUCGUAGAUUAGCCUUUGUUUCAUUUUUGUCACGUUGAUGGGUCGGUCAGAUUUACGGUCGCUGUACGACAUACGAUUUGCUUUAUGGAAGUCGGCGAGUUGUAACCUUUCACGCACAAUUACUAAUCGCUUUCCUCGUUGCCGGCUCUCGGUGCUCUUCGAAUGGACUUCGGGUAUAGAUUCGGCGCGACGAGGGCCGCGUAGAAACGGCUGCAGCCCUCAGGGGCAGCGGAUCCCCUUGUGAACGACGUUCCUUCAAGGACCGCCUGUUACUCGGAGACUUCGGUGCAAUAAUGAUCGUUCGUGCGCGCGGCUGUUUAAGCGGUGAAUACUGCGAGUCGUGAAACAAGCGAAUGUGAACGAGAGCGUGACGCAAAUCCGAUGAGAUUAUCGUGUGAUGGGAGCCCGUGACAGCGUACGAAGACCGUCUGAAUUUAGCCCGGCUGGCAUCCACGGUCCCGAGGACCGCCUAAUCACGACGGAUCCUAGCUCUCCUAGCUCUUCAGAUCAAAGUUAAUCCUAGGUAUCCUAGUAUAUCUUCGGUGGUCAGCCCCCCGGGUACGGGAGCAACGCAGACGAGAUGGUUCGGUCGUAAAAGUGCUAUUCUUACAGUUUGCAUUCCUCGGCUCUCGGCGUGUUGAGCAACUCGCUGGCCAGGCUGACGUAUUCCCACGGGAUCCCCCUUGAGUCGACGCUGAGCUCCCGGCCAGCCUGAGGGAACUCCGAGGGGCUCUGGAGGGACGUGAAGCUAGUCUCCAGGCAGAGUCUGUGGGGUGGCGUGCCGGCCAGAUUGCUCGGAUGCGAUUUCACCGGGCUGGACGAGGACAGCAACGCUCUCAUUUCCUGUUCGAUCUCCAUCUCCUGGAUCUCGACGACCUCGCGCGCCUCCGACGCCUCCGUGGACGAUGCGUGACCGGAAGCCAGCCUCUGCGGCUUCGCCGGACCCAGCGUCGUUACAACCUGGCAUAUCCAUACACGCGUGUUUCCAUGUAAAUCGUGCCUCGCCGAAUUGACCAGUCGGUCGUUAGGCCCGCGUUUAAUCGAUCCGGCGAAUGCCGCUCGACUUUCAUCGACAACUGGUGUCGCCACACCGCGUAUCGCUAUUUCGCGGUACUCGAUUAGCGGAUGAUUGAAUGAUAGUCGCCGAUUUAGGAAUAUAAAGUGGUAUGGCGCUGAUGGAACUGAUUUAGCGGUUUACUUCUACAUCCGAUUGUGCGGUUUCCUAAUAUCGAUUGCUCGCCGAGCACGAUGUUACUGGCGGACACUGGCGUCCAAUUCGGGGAUCGAAACGAGCCGGACUCGGUACUACUCUUGGCCGAACUUCGACGAACGAAUAUGUUAAAUAUUUACUAUAGGGGAGCUAUCUUCCUGAUGGGCCUUGACCUUGCUGUGCGCUGUGUUGAGGACACUUCCCUUAGGAAUCUUAGAAAACGUCAAUCGUCGCUCAUUUGUUGUCAAAAUUUUAUUAAGCAACAAUCUGGUGGGCUCUGCAUAUGAUCCGAAUAAAUCCGAUUACAAUAAUAAUAAUAAUGUCACGUCAUUCGACGUGCACUAAUACCUAUGUAAUCAUUGCAUUCAUUUCCGUCUAUCAUCUGGUACUUGUGGCGUGGUGGAGAAUGAUAAGUGUCCGGUGACUUGUGCCAAAUGAAGUUGAAAUUGGGGUGUAUGCCAAAUGAAGUCCAAAGAUUUGGCGGAAAAGUUAUUCCAUCAGAAAGUGUUUAUAUUAUAUUUUCAAAUAUAUAAGGAUAAUAAUAUAAGACAAUAAUUUGUCUAUUUCAUUGAUGGCUGACAAGGGGAAGAUCUUCACUGAGUGGUCAUGAUUGUACUUGUAACUUGUUGUAAUUUGUUAUAAUUCCAUAGAGUAAGUAGGAGACGAUUGCAGACCAAAAAAUAUCAUAUGCAUCAGUAGCAUUGAUUGUAAUUUAACGGGAUCUUGCAAAAUAUCUUAUACAAAUUUUUAGGUUUCAAUUAUCCUGAACACGUACACAGUAAAUCGCAAAGUUCGCAGCAUCCGAAUGUUUCACAUGAAAACAUUCCCGUAACUCUUUCGAUCCCUGAUUGGACGACUGAUUCAGAGCGUAAUUGACAAUGCAGCCGUUUCGACGUUGCACAUUGCGCACCGUCGAAUGGCUUUAUUUCUUCGUAAAACGAAAUAACUGUUCACUGGUCUGCGGCAUGAGAGAGGAGCGGGCAGCUACGUUCCUCGAAAAAUCAGCUGGCAGACGGAUUAAACAAAGAGGCGUAGCGAUUUACGUACAAUAUCCCUCCCUGUAAUCGCGCUUGUAAUCGCGUCGUCGUCAUCCGGCAUAUUGUCCCCGCGGCGAACAAUGGACAGACAUGGCGUUGGUUUUCCCGAUAGCGAUAAAAAAAUAUUGAUUCUCGUAGGAAAUUCCGCCUUGGGAGCGUAGGAACGGGGGAGCCAAGGCGCCGACGGCGCUCCGUAAUCGCGUUACCGGCCCCGGGACCGGGACGCGCGUCCAUAGAGAGGGAACACGGCGCGCCGCGAGUGUGCACAGAAGAAUUCAAUUGUACCGAAUCAUUUCCAACCGGAAUUCGGUCGACGUUUCAAGACCACUUCUCGGACACGUUGGACCAUGAAGGCAUGCUGUGGGUCUCCGCCAGUGGCCUUGAACGAUCGAUUCGUCUCGAAUGAAAAUUUCCGUUCGGUGGACGACAAAGAGGGGCGGCCGAGAGUAGGUUACGCGUUCGUUUUUUGGGAGGGCCGGGGACAAUCGCGGGGACCGUUGUUCUUCACGUUUUCACGAGGCAAUUCCGCUGAGAGCCAAUCCGUAUAUCCCGCGGGCGGCAUUCUCGACAAGAAGAACGGGCUCCGGGGUCGCGUUUCGAUCCGACGAUCGUGCAUUCUUCAUCCCCAUUAUUGGACAAGGCCUCCCGGCGAACGUCCGCUGAAUAUUUCACGCGAAUCGCGGACCCGCCGAGGCAGCUCGGUUAAAAGUGCACGCCGGGUAACGACUCGUUCGUUCGCGGCACGGUUGAAGUCUCCAAAAACGGAUUACGUAACACGCGGCCGGCGAGGCAACGCCGCCAUAAUUUACGCUACAAAGCGGACCGGACUGAUACGCUCGAGUUGAUCCCGCGCUGCUAAAUUCUUUUUUGCAAUUUUACGGGAUGAAAGGACUGCGUACUGGAUAACGGUCAUUAUAGAAAAUAGAAGCGGCCUUGGCAUUUCGAAAAAUUCUCAGACAGAACGAUGACAAAACAACGGGGACAUUCCAGUUCGCCGAAGUGAUCGAGCCAACCUGCACACUGUUAACCCUCCAAUAGCAAACACCGGGUCAUAGGACGCUCGAGAAUCGAUUUCGGAAUUCGCGAACACGUUUCCUGUCCUCUGAAAUUAUUAAUCAUUCCCAUUUUCGAAGAGAGUUUCCCGCAUCGAGGAAUACCACGUACCUUGGGGUCGACGCUCCUUUUUAUGGCAUUGAUAAGAUCGGCCCUCAAGCUCUCCAUUUGCCGGAGCCCUAUCCUCGGCACGACGUCCUUACCAACCACCACAGAUGUAAUAAAUUCCUGCGUGUAUUGCUGCGCGGGCAUGCUCAACAGACCGCCGGGAGGAGCGAACGAAAAGCAGAUCAGGUCCGGAUACUCCUGCUUGAGGAGUAUCGCGAGGAUAGCAGCCGUGCCACCUCCUAAGGAAUGGCCGACCAAUGCAAGACCGAAUUGAUCGGUCCCCCUCGUGGGAUCCUGCAACAGAAUUGUGUGUACUGUAUAUUGUAUGCGGUGUGUAUUGCAUAUUGGAUAUUUUAUAUGGUGUAUUGGAUGUUGUAUAUUUUA